rnacentral:snRNA from 1 species
GUGCUUGCUUCAACAGCACAUAUACUAAAAUUGGAAUAAUACAGAGAAGAUUAGCAUGGCCCCUGUGUAAGGACAACACCCAAAUUCAUAAGGCAUUCCAUAUUUUU